CAGAGUUGCAAGACUCCCUAAACCAUUGUGAACCUACCUUCUACCGUUGCUUCGGCGGGCGGGCCCAGCGCCCCCCCCGGCCCCCCCGCGGGGCGCCCGCCGGAGGAUACCCAAACUCUUGACAUUAGUGGCCUCUCUGAGUAUUCUUUACUGAAUAAGUCA
rnacentral:misc_RNA from 1 species